rnacentral:lncRNA from 1 species
AAAUAGAAACAGCUCCGGUCUGCUGCUGCCAGUGAGACCAAUGCAGAAGGACAUGGAUUCACUAAAAAGAAAAGUUCUGAAGAAUAACAGAACUUGCCAGAUCCCAUCAGGGAUGUGAAUAGUCCCAGUGACGGUUUUGAAUUUGGGCAGAGCACUUCCAUCUUCCAUCCUUCCUAUCUGAGCCUUUUGACAAGUGAGUACAUUUCUCUGUCUCUCUCUUUUUAUUUAACAACAUCAAAAGUGUUAAUACGCAAAUGAACUAAAAAUUACUUGUAAAGUGUGUACAAAAUGCUGUAGGUUAUCUGCAUCAAAAUUCCACAUUUAAAUCAAACUCUUAUGACU